UGCCUAAUACAUGCAAGUCGAGCGGACAGAAGGGAGCUUGCUCCCGGAUGUUAGCGGCGGACGGGUGAGUAACACGUGGGUAACCUGCCUGUAAGACUGGGAUAACUCCGGGAAACCGGAGCUAAUACCGGAUAGUUCCUUGAACCGCAUGGUUCAAGGAUGAAAGACGGUUUCGGCUGUCACUUACAGAUGGACCCGCGGCGCAUUAGCUAGUUGGUGGGGUAAUGGCUCACCAAGGCGACGAUGCGUAGCCGACCUGAGAGGGUGAUCGGCCACACUGGGACUGAGACACGGCCCAGACUCCUACGGGAGGCAGCAGUAGGGAAUCUUCCGCAAUGGACGAAAGUCUGACGGAGCAACGCCGCGUGAGUGAUGAAGGUUUUCGGAUCGUAAAGCUCUGUUGUUAGGGAAGAACAAGUGCGAGAGUAACUGCUCGCACCUUGACGGUACCUAACCAGAAAGCCACGGCUAACUACGUGCCAGCAGCCGCGGUAAUACGUAGGUGGCAAGCGUUGUCCGGAAUUAUUGGGCGUAAAGGGCUCGCAGGCGGUUUCUUAAGUCUGAUGUGAAAGCCCCCGGCUCAACCGGGGAGGGUCAUUGGAAACUGGGAAACUUGAGUGCAGAAGAGGAGAGUGGAAUUCCACGUGUAGCGGUGAAAUGCGUAGAGAUGUGGAGGAACACCAGUGGCGAAGGCGACUCUCUGGUCUGUAACUGACGCUGAGGAGCGAAAGCGUGGGGAGCGAACAGGAUUAGAUACCCUGGUAGUCCACGCCGUAAACGAUGAGUGCUAAGUGUUAGGGGGUUUCCGCCCCUUAGUGCUGCAGCUAACGCAUUAAGCACUCCGCCUGGGGAGUACGGUCGCAAGACUGAAACUCAAAGGAAUUGACGGGGGCCCGCACAAGCGGGUGGAGCAUGUGGUUUAAUUCGAAGCAACGCGAAGAACCUUACCAGGUCUUGACAUCCUCUGACAACCCUAGAGAUAGGGCUUUCCCUUCGGGGACAGAGUGACAGGUGGUGCAUGGUUGUCGUCAGCUCGUGUCGUGAGAUGUUGGGUUAAGUCCCGCAACGAGCGCAACCCUUGAUCUUAGUUGCCAGCAUUCAGUUGGGCACUCUAAGGUGACUGCCGGUGACAAACCGGAGGAAGGUGGGGAUGACGUCAAAUCAUCAUGCCCCUUAUGACCUGGGCUACACACGUGCUACAAUGGACAGAACAAAGGGCUGCAAGACCGCAAGGUUUAGCCAAUCCCAUAAAUCUGUUCUCAGUUCGGAUCGCAGUCUGCAACUCGACUGCGUGAAGCUGGAAUCGCUAGUAAUCGCGGAUCAGCAUGCCGCGGUGGAUACGUUCCCGGGCCUUGUACACACCGCCCGUCACACCACGAGAGUUUGCAACACCCGAAGUCGGUGAGGUAACCUUUAUGGAGCCAGCCGCCGAAGG
rnacentral:rRNA from 1 species